UGGAGUUCAUUUAAACAGUUUACUGAGUGAUUUGCUGCCAACAUGAUUAUUAGCAAAUAUUAGGCCCUACAGAUAGCCUAAUAUUUCAACUCCUCUUCAUGCUAUGCAGAACUUUUUGAAAGAGCCAGCUGCAGUGUGUAACAGAAGUUCUGGGGUAUUAUAGUCAAGUUUGAUAAUGAGGAGGAUCCUCUGAUACAGACUACAGAGGGGCUUCAUCUCCCCGUCAAACGGACAGCGAGAUGUCCCCACCAGUAACAACCGGUCAUCCGACUUCACACCCUUCAUGGGUUUGGGCAGUUCCUUCAACUUUUUGGGAUCAGUCUGGAUUUUGAAAUAAAGUUUCAUCAUGAGUCUGCAUCAACAGCAAAAUUAACUGGAGGAUGAAGAAGCUAUUUGUGAUGAUUUAUUUUCUGAGUGGGAUAUUUGCUGGCUAUAUUAUUUACUUCCGUCACAAAUCGAAUAUGGUCAACAUGUUUGUCCCGGUCACUUGUAUACACUAGCUUGCAUCUUCUUUCCUAUGCCUCUGAAGUUUGCCCCUUGGAUCUGCCAGGAGGAUAUACUUUGUGAUAGGUGCUUUUUCAUGAACCUUCUGGGAUUCUUACAGAGAGAAAGAAAUAACCAGAGUAAUGGCAGACUUGAUCUUCCUGUUUAACAAUUCAGAAUGCCUUUCCCCGGAGGAAGAAUUAUUGGUGCCAGAGAAGAAAAGGACACCAGAGAAGGAAAUCAACAUCCACACAUGGAUGAUUCAGGAGAAUGUCAUUGGAUUCCCAUACUUGUCGGUGUCCUAUUUCUGAUCAUCAUGAUCACCGUUAUAAUGAUCUACAAAUGCCUUUGGAAACGCAGAGGCAAUGCAUUCUUGCAGAGGAGAUGCAGUUGCAAUGAACAUGAAUUUGCAGUUGACGAUGAAGAAUAAAAGCACAAACGAAAAGUUUCAAGCUAUUUUUUUACUUUUCGUUUGUCGAUCAAAUCAAAAAAAA